rnacentral:rRNA from 1 species
CACUAUGGCCAUGCCACCCUAAAUGUGCCGGAUCUUGUCUGAUCUUAAAAGCUAAGCAGGGUCGGGCCUGGUUAGUACUUGGAUGGGAGACUACCUAGGAAUAUCAGGUGCUAUAGGCA